GACGAACGCUGGCGGCGUGCUUAACACAUGCAAGUCGAGCGGUAAGGCCCUUUCGGGGGUACACGAGCGGCGAACGGGUGAGUAACACGUGGGUGACCUGCCCUCAGCUCUGGGAUAAGCCUGGGAAACUGGGUCUAAUACUGGAUAUGACUCCACGGUGCAUGUCGUGGGGUGGAAAGCCUUGUGCGGCUGAGGAUGGGCCCGCGGCCUAUCAGCUUGUUGGUGGGGUGAUGGCCUACCAAGGCGACGACGGGUAGCCGGCCUGAGAGGGCGACCGGCCACACUGGGACUGAGACACGGCCCAGACUCCUACGGGAGGCAGCAGUGGGGAAUCUUGCGCAAUGGGCGAAAGCCUGACGCAGCGACGCCGCGUGAGGGAUGACGGCCUCGGUUGUAAC
rnacentral:rRNA from 1 species